AACGAACGCUGGCGGCAUGCCUAACACAUGCAAGUCGAACGAGACCUUCGGGUCUAGUGGCGCACGGGUGCGUAACGCGUGGGAAUCUGCCCUGGGGUGCGGAAUAACUCGGAGAAAUCCGUGCUAAUACCGCAUAAUGUCUUCGGACCAAAGAUUUAUCGCCCUGGGAUGAGCCCGCGUAGGAUUAGCUAGUUGGUGGGGUAAAGGCCUACCAAGGCGACGAUCCUUAGCUGGUCUGAGAGGAUGAUCAGCCACACUGGGACUGAGACACGGCCCAGACUCCUACGGGAGGCAGCAGUGGGGAAUAUUGGACAAUGGGCGAAAGCCCUGAUCCAGCAAUGCCGCGUGAGUGAUGAAGGCCCUAGGGUUGUAAAGCUCUUUUACCCGGGAUGAUAAUGACAGUACCGGGAGAAUAAGCUCCGGCUAACUCCGUGCCAGCAGCCGCGGUAAU
rnacentral:rRNA from 1 species